rnacentral:rRNA from 1 species
AGGACGAACGCUGGCGGCGUGCUUAACACAUGCAAGUCGAGCGGAAAGGCCCUUCGGGGUACUCGAGCGGCGAACGGGUGAGUAACACGUGAGUAAUCUGCCCCUAGCUCUGGGAUAGCUCCGGGAAACCGGGAUUAAUACCGGAUACGACCACCUUAGACAUCUUUUGUGGUGGAAAGAAUUUCGGCUAGGGAUGAGCUCGCGGCCUAUCAGCUUGUUGGUGGAGUAACGGCCCACCAAGGCGACGACGGGUA